rnacentral:rRNA from 1 species
GACGAAGGGGGCUAGCGUUGUUCGGAAUUACUGGGCGUAAAGCGCGUGUAGGCGGUUGUCCAAGUUGGAUGUGAAAGCCUUGAGCUUAACUCAAGAAAUGCAUUCAGGACUGGAUGACUAGAGGACCGGAGAGGAUAGUGGAAUUCCCAGUGUAGUGGUGAAAUACGUAGAGAUUGGGAAGAACACCAGUGGCGAAGGCGGCUAUCUGGACGGUUUCUGACGCUGAGACGCGAAAGCGUGGGGAGCGAACAGG